GACGAACGCUGGCGGCGUGCUUAACACAUGCAAGUCGAACGAAGAGCGAUGGAAGCUUGCUUCUAUCACUCUUAGUGGCGAACGGGUGAGUAACGCGUAAUCAACCUGCCCUUCAGAGGGGGACAACAGUUGGAAACGACUGCUAAUACCGCAUACGAUCUAAUCUCGGCAUCGAGGAAAGAUGAAAGGUGGCCUCUAUUUAUAAGCCAUCACUGAAGGAGGGGAUUGCGUCUGAUUAGCUAGUUGGAGGGGUAACGGCCCACCAAGGCGAUGAUCAGUAGCCGGUCUGAGAGGAUGAACGGCCACAUUGGGACUGAGACACGGCCCAGACUCCUACGGGAGGCAGCAGUGGGGAAUCUUCCGCAAUAGACGAAAGUCUGACGGAGCAACGCCGCGUGAGUGAUGACGGCCUUCGGGUUGUAAAGCUCUGUUAAUCGGGACGAAAGGCCUUCUUGCGAACAGUUAGAAGGAUUGACGGUACCGGAAUAGAAAGCCACGGCUAACUACGUG
rnacentral:rRNA from 1 species